rnacentral:rRNA from 1 species
AGCUCCAAUAGCGUAUAUUAAAGUUGCUGCAGUUAAAAAGCUCGUAGUUGCAUUUCCGAGGCAAGGGAUUAGUCCGACCUUUGGUGGGUAUUUAAUCCUCUUGCCUCGUCCUUGAGUGGUGCUUCUUGGUAUUAAGUUAUCGAGGAGAUAGCCGCUCAUCGUUUACUGUGAGAAAAUUAGAGUGUUCAAAGCAGGCUUAUGCCGUUGAAUAUAUUAGCAUGGAAUAAUAAGAUAGGACCUCGGUACUAUUUUGUUGGUUUGAGAACCAAGGUAAUGAUGAAUAGGGACAGUUGGGGGUAUUCGUAUUCAGUUGUCAGAGGUGAAAUUCUUAGAUUUUUGGAAGACAAACUACUGCGAAAGCAUUUACCAAGGAUGUUUUCA